rnacentral:rRNA from 1 species
AUUGAACGCUGGCGGCAGGCCUAACACAUGCAAGUCGAACGAGGGGCGGACGGGUGAGUAAUGUCUGGGAAACUGCCUGAUGGAGGGGGAUAACUACUGGAAACGGUAGCUCAUACAGCAUACCAUCAGAUGUGCCCAGAUGGGAUUAGCUAGUUGGUGGGGUAACGGCUCACCAAGGCGACGAGCCCUAGCUGGUCUGAGAGGAUGACAAGCCUCAAUGGAACUUAGACACGGUCCAGACUCCUACGGGAGGCAGCAGUGGGGAAUAUUGCACAAUGGGCGCAAGCCUGAUGCAGCCCUGCCGAGUGUAUGCAGAAGGCCUUCGGGUUGUAAAGUACUUUCAGCUGGGAGGCGUUACCCGCAGAAGAAGCACCGGCUAACCCCGUGCCAGCAGCCGCGGUAAUAC